rnacentral:tRNA from 1 species
UGGAAUGUAGCUUAAUUGGCAGAGUGCUUGCUUGGUGUGCAUAAGGUCCUGGGUUCGAUUCCCAGCACUGCAC